GAUGAACGCUGGCGGCGUGCCUAAUACAUGCAAGUCGAGCGAACGGACGAGAAGCUUGCUUUUCUGAUGUUAGCGGCGGACGGGUGAGUAACACGUGGAUAACCUACCUAUAAGACUGGGAUAAUUUCGGGAAACCGGAGCUAAUACCGGAUAAUAUUUUGAACCGCAUGGUUCAAAAGUGAAAGACGGUCUUGCUGUCACUUAUAGAUGGAUCCGCGCUGCAUUAGCUAGUUGGUAAGGUAACGGCUUACCAAGGCAACUAUGCAUAGCCGACCUGAGAGGGUGAUCGGCCACACUGGAACUGAGACACGGUCCAGACUCCUACGGGAGGCAGCAGUAGGGAAUCUUCCGCAAUGGGCGAAAGCCUGACGGAGCAACGCCGCGUGAGUGAUGAAGGUCUUCGGAUCGUAAAACUCUGUUAUUAGGGAAGAACAUAUGUGUAAGUAACUGUGCACAUCUUGACGGUACCUAAUCAGAAAGCCACGGCUAACUACGUG
rnacentral:rRNA from 1 species